GUGCAUCGAUUCGUGUGUGCGCGCACUCCUACACACGUCGAUAUAGUUACAUAUACAAGCACUGCAGCGUUCCCCUCUUCAGCCUCACCCCUUUCCCCUCCUCAGUAGUCGUGGUAGUCGUGGCAGGAGCUGGUGGUGAGGAGAACAGCAGCGUCAGCGAGGCCGAGGCGGUGCGACGGUGGAUGGAAACGAGGUGGGGGAGCACUGAAGAAGUACGAAGCCUUCACAACGCUGCAUCGCUCCUGCAGCAUACACGGCAGCUUGCUUUUCUUUCUUUUUGGCCUUAGGCAUGUACUUGCGGAAGCCGCUUGUGCAGCGCGGUGUGCUGCGUUGCCACCCUCAUCGAUGCCAUCGACGAGCGCCGGCUGUGACCACGUCAGCGCCGCUGUCGUCGUCAGGCAGCAUCGAUGGAGGAAGUGACUUUGCAUGCUACGUCGAGGCGGAGUUCACGGAUGCGCUCUUCGCGGCAUCUUCGCCUACUGAGGCGGGCGCCAAUUCAGUGGAGCAGCGAGUCAACUCCUCCUUUUAUCUUGUGCCUGCAGCAGCAGCAGCAGCAGCACCGGCUGGUGCGCAGCGUCACCACCGACGGCGGCGCUCUCUCCACUGCGGGAGUGAGGUGUCGGGCCUGCCGCCCACUCACGCCAUCUUGAACCACCUGAACAGCUCCCUGUGGCUGCAGGUGCUGGCUCGCCUGCAUAGUCGCGGUGCACUUUGUGGCGAGGGUUGCGCCGGUGCACUUCGGUACUUGCCAACCUUCACGUACCGUCCGCUAAUGCCGUGGCUGUGGAGCCCAGCGACCUUGUCGACGCCAGCGGAGGCUGCGCAGCCGAGCAGCACAAGCCACCGCAGCGAGGCCGGCCGAGGCAGCGACGCGGAGAACGUUUCGGGUGCGCGGGACAGCUCGGAAUGGGAAGUAGAUCUGGGGACGGAGGUGCACAGAAACGUGUGUCUGCCCGCGCUGGCGAUGAGCUGCCGGCCUGCAGCUCCACCAGCACCGCCUGCUACGGCGCCGCUCACGGUUUACACGGUCACAGACAUCAGCACCGCUGCGCCGUCGCAGUGGACUGUCAUUGCGACCUCUGUAGUGAAGUCGACGCUCGCCAAUGCACCGCCAGCGACUGUGAAGGAUCUGCUGAAGGUGUGGCACGACCUCUUCUUUGCCCUCCGCUAUCACGCGGUGUGGGUCAGUACCCCGGAGCAGCUGCGCGGCAGCGCUCACCCGCAGCUGAUGCGCCUGUUCGAAUGCUUCUACGCAGAUGUCCGGCGUCAUAGUCAAAUUUCCAGCGCGAGUGAGGCUUGCGGCAUGGCACAACUCCUAUCCUCUGAAGAGCUGCCACUGCAGCAACGGCGUGCGAAUGUCAUUACCGAGGUGGUGGUGCGCACGCUGACGCCGCCCAUCCUGCUUCGAAAGUUCCGCAGUCUGUAUCGCCCGCACCGCCACUCCGCAAUGCUCUUCGCCGAACUCUACGCCAUGUGCGUUGAAGAAGAAGAGACGUUCGUCUGUCUCCGUCGCUUGCACGCACACAGCCCCGGUGACAUGUCCGCGCAAGAGGCAGCGCAGCCCGCUGCACGCAUGCGGCAGCGGCAGCAGCUCACGACGACAACCCUUUUAAUGGAUGUCGAUCUCGCCGCCUCUUACGCGACACUGCCGGGGCGCCGCUACAGCGGCCUCAGCGACGCAGGCGAGCAAUGGGCUGCUACGCUGCAGCACCUGCGGUUCCUGCUCCCUCGUGUGCAUUUCCUCCAGGAGUGUCGGAGGGCUCAAAGGGCGCCACCCAUGUCAAGCGGGAACGCUGCCGAAGAAGCGGUGUGGCAGCCGUGGCGGCAGGUCGCGUCUAUCCUCAUGAACGUGUGCGUAUGGGUCAGCAACGACAAUGCCGAGGCAGAGCGCUGCGUCGACGCGCUGCGGUGCACCGUCGAGGUGCUGCAAAGCAUGAACGCCGAAUCUUCCACGUCGGGCCGUGGCGGUGCGCACAGGCUGCUCGCCCCUCCGACAUUCCAGGUCGUGGGCGCCUUCAUCUCUUGCCUUGUCGCGGCAGCCCGGGACAGCAUGCGGACCAAGGCAGCUCAGCUACAGUACGGCCCGACGGAUGGCCUGUUGGGCGUGUACCUGCUCUCCGUGGCCGUCGCUGCCGUCAUCCCAGCAAGCGGGCGCUCGCGCAAGUCAGCGGCUGAUUGCCGGCAGACUGGUGACGGGGUACACAUGCCGAGCACCGAUGCGGAUGAAGACGCCGCGGAGCUGCUGCAUCGACUGCGUCUUCUCGUACACCCCUCGAAGUCGACGCCUGGCGAGGUGUGGGCUGCGCUGCGUCGCUCUCCGACUGCUGGCGAAGCUGCCCGCCAUGGCCUUGUCACGGUCGGGCAUCAUCUCUUCAGCGAGUGCGUCAUGCCACUGGUGAGCCAGCCAAAGGUCUUCUCGACCGCCCAGCGCCUAUAUGGUCGCUUGCGCGCUUGGGCCACAGAGGUAGGCCGACCGCUGGGCCUGCACGGCGAGCCUGUCUCCGCGCUGUGGAAGCUGCGGUGGCUGCAGCAGCACCUUACCACAGACGGCGACAGCGGCGAGGCCAGCGCUCUCCUAGGUCGGCUCACGUCGGGUCGCGUGCAAACGGGCAGCGACCGCGUUGCACCUCAAGACACAACAACGCUGCCGAGCCCUGUGUCGUGGGGCUGCGGGUGCGGCUUCGAGAACGAAAGCAUCAGCACUGGUGCGCAUCAUGGCGAUGCUGUAAGGGUAGCGUGCGUGGCUUGUGUGCUGCGCACUCUGACACCGCUGAGCUGGGAGUGCCCGUCCUGCCACGCCGUCGCCAACAGCGGUGUAUGCGUGCCGUACUGCCUGCGCUGUGGAGAGACCCAUCCUCUGGCGGAUCAGCUUGGCAUAGCCGUCAAGACACCCAGCGUGGCGGAUGCCCACACGUGUGGCAUGACGUUCUGCAAGGAGCAUCCACACCUGGGAACAGUGACGUUGCUGCAGCCGAGAGGUCUGCCCAAGAGCUCGUUGGUCUACACGCCGACGCCACCUUCAUUGCUGAAUGCGCCGGAGGCCACCGAAGGCGUGGCACGCUGCUGCUGGGACUGCGGGCAUGCGUGUGGCGGUGCGCCCGUUGACGUUGGCGACGUGCACGUGGCGACUCUUUCUCCUCGAUACGCGGCGCCGUCUUGGCACGGUGAAGAUGACGCUGCGCUGAAUGGCCUCUCUGAGGAUGGAAACUCACUCAAGGUGGGUGGCACGGGAGUCGUUGUCUACGUGUGCUCUGACUGCCAUGCCAUCUCCGCAGGCCCGCACAGCGCCGCGCUCCCCAAGAUACCAGACGGGGCACCAGCGACAGGGUCCAGCACGGCUUCCUGCAGCAGCUGUGGCACCACGGAGCCUGGCUACUACACUGCCGCCUUCACCUGGACGUGUGGCUGCGGUGCCUGCAAUUCUGCACUGCACGCGUACUGCCAUGCAUGCUCACGGGCUGCACAGCAGCCCACUGUAACGUGCACGCACUGCAGCCAUGCGCAGUCCGUGAGGGGAGCCGCGCCGUGGGCCGGAAGCAGGGGUGCAUGCGAGCGAUGUCACCACCCACACCCUCGCGUCCUCGCUGCCGUCAAUCAGCACCGCCUCGUCCGCUGCCCUGCGUGUCAAGGCCGUGUGCCGUCCACCAGCGUACAGUGCCCGCACUGCGCGUGCACCGCCGUGGCGGCGGUGGCCGCGCUGCUUCCAACGGAGGCGGAUCAGCCUUGGCUCUGUCACCACUGUGGCACAACGCACGCGGUCCGCGACCGAACGGACGGCCAGCUACGCACUCCGGUGCACCUGACGGAUCCCUCAUCCGUGCAUACGCUCCUGCCACUCCUCACACGUGCUGAGGACGGCUACUGCACGACGUGCGGUACGUGUCGUCUACCACCGACCUCGUGGGAGCGCGGACGCCUAUGGGGGUGCAGUAAGUGCGGAGAGCCGUUCAACAGCGAGCUGGCGUGUCGGCGAUGCGCUGCUCUCGCCCCUGGCGUCCCUGCCGGUCAGGUGUACGUGUGGCGCUGCGCAACGUGCGGCGCGUAUCACCCCAGCUGGGAGGUGCAGUGCCGCGCUGUCGGCUGCGGGGGUCGAGGAGGCGCAGAAGAUGUGGGCGCACGGUUCUGCUACUCACCGUGGGCGUGUGCCGAGUGCGGCGAGGUGACGCUGUCCUCGCACGCCAUCACCUGCGCCACCUGCGGCGCGGAGACCCCGAAGCCGCUGCGUGCCACCCCGUGCACCUACGGUGACGCCUGCGGGACGACGGCGGCCGCAACGGCAGGUGCGCACGCGAAACGGCACCGUGGGAGAGUGGAGGCAAAUCGCAGCGCACGCGCACAAGAAUGCACGAUGCCGAAAGCCCUCACAGGCGCCAAAGAAGACGUGCGGGUGCCGUCUGCCGGCACCUGUAGCGCUCUUUCCCCGUCACUCUCGCACACGCCAUUGGCGUUGUCUCCAGCCCAUGCGGCGACGGCCCCAGACUCGCGUCUAGCAGAGGUGGAGACGUUCCUGCUGCAGGCCGCUGCACACCCAUCUCUGCCGUUGCUUACUGAACCGCUGGACGCGCCGCUGGUGAAAGCCGUGUCGUGUACGUCGCUAUGGCCGCACAAGAGCGGCGAUGCCUCCGCACCAGCGAAUGAACCAGCAGGCGAUUCAGAGAAAUCGCUUACGGAUCCGACACACCGCGACGGCGUUCGUGCCGGUGGUGCCGCAGGUACGUCUGCGCUCGCCGUGGAGCCGUGGGAGGACGCGUACGCUGCGACCGUCAUAUCGUUCUAAGGCCGGUGCGGGAGCACGGCGACGCCGCGCUGUGAGAGAGACGAGGAUGCCCCCAUAUAUCGUCGGUGGCCUGUGCACACCGCCGCAAGCGGCGAGCGGAGUUGGCGCGAACGUGCUCGUGCGGCCGCUUCUUUGUUUUCUUGCGCUGCUCUCUGCCUGUUUGUCUCCGGCCAGGCUGGCACACGACUGCGUGUGGCCAUGCUUGCUGUUAACCAUGCACACCUGUCCAAGCAGCGUGCACGUGGACGCUGCUUGGACAGGGGCGCGUAAG
rnacentral:misc_RNA from 1 species